rnacentral:lncRNA from 10 species
CUGUUAACUGUUGAUAUUUCUUUACACAGAGGCCCCCCCAGUGCCCUUCCUGCAUGCCCAGCGGUACGUGAGUGGCUAUGGGCUGCAGAAGGGGGAGCUGAGCACACUGCUGUACAACACCCACCCAUACCGGGCCUUCCCGGUGCUGCUGCUGGACACCGUACCCUGGUAUCUGCGGCUGUAUGUGCACACCCUCACCAUCACCUCCAAGGGCAAGGAGAACAAACCAAGUGAGGACCUGAGUCCUGAACCAGGCCCCCAGCCCGCCCUCUCAUGUCCUCUCCAGGUCCCCCAAACUCUCAUUUCCCAGGGUAGUUCCUGAAGUACCUCUGAAAAGCUACACAGGCAUAAAGAGUAAGGAAUAGUUUCUCAAAACUGGAACGGGAGCCUCACUGUGCCAGGUUCAGAAGUAAUUUAUAAAACAGCAAUAAUUAAAACACAUAAUACUGGUGAUUCUUAAUAGGACUGUACAAGGACAGUAGCUUCCUUUUUCACUUACUUUUGCCUCCUUUCUGGAGCAUUGGGUUUUGUGAUGAUUCAUAGACUCUUUAAGGUAGGGAAAGGGUUUGGCAACGUUAGGCUUUUGAAGCUAGGAAGAUAGCAGAGCUGGAGUAGAUGGUGUUUUGCUUCCUUGGGAGGGGUAAAGAGGUACAGUUAAUUAAAUUUUUUUAUUUCUAUUUUUAUUAAAAUUUAUUUUUAUUUUCUAUUAUUUUUCUAAGGAGAAGAUAAUAUUAGUGCUUCCUAUUAGGUGCCAGGCAUAGCACUAAAGCACUUGCCUUUCUUUGGUGUAGGGGGAGACUAGUAGUAAAGUAAAAGACCUCUGAGGAAGAGGUUGUACCAUAUCCCAAACGGCCAAACUUAAAAACCUUUCAGUACUUUAGUUGAUUCCUAUAUUUUCAAACAUACGGUGAAUAGUUUCACUUAUUUUCAGCACCAUUAUUUGUACCACCUUCAAAAUCUCUAUUUCAGACAUCCUAACUGCAUAUUCUAUAGGUUUUUCUGUUAUUAUUCUUUUAAAUCUUCUCCUUUGGAAAAUUUCAAACCCAAACCCAAACAGAAUAGUGUAAUAAUCCCCUGUACACACCCUGCAGCCUUUUUUUUUUUUUUUUAAGAGACAGACUGUUGCUCUGUCAGCUAUGCCGGAGUGCAGUGGCAUGAUCAUGGCUCAUUGCAGUCUCAGACUGCUCGGCUCAAGCAAUCCUCCUACCUCCGCUUCCCUAGGACUACAGGCAUGAACCGCCAUGCCUUUAAUUUUUUCACAGAGGCAGGGUCUUGUUAUGUUGCACAGGCUGGUCUCAAACUCCUGGCCUCAAGCGAUUCUCCUGCCUCAGUCUCCUAAAGUGCUGGGAUUAUAGGUGUAAGCCGCUGCCUGCUGGCAUAUCUUAAAGCAAAUCUUAGACAUUGCAUCAAUUAACCUUUAAAUACUUUAAGGAUUUUUAAAAAUGUAACCGUAUCAUUACCACUUCUGUUUUCCCCUGUGGUCUUAAAAAUGUCUUUUUAUAAUUGGUUUGUUUAAAUUGGGAUAAACAAGGUUCUCACAUUGCAUUUGCUUUAUACUAAGUUCCUCUCUUGGGUGGGCACAGUGGUGCACACCUGUAAUCUCAGCACUUUGGGAGGCCAACACAGAAGGACCACUUGAGUCCAGGAGUUCGAAACCAGCCUGGACAACAUUGUGAGGCUCCCCCUACCUAUACAAAAAAAAUUUUUUUUUUUUUUUUUUUUUUUUUUUGAGACGGAUCCUCACUCUGUCACCCAGGCUGGAGUGCAGUGGCGCGAUCUUAGCUCACUGCAACCUCCACCUCCCGGGUUCAAGCGAUUCUCCUGCCUCCACCUCCCGAGUAGCUGGGACUACAGGCGCGUGCCACCACGCCUGGCUAAUUUUUUCUGUUUUUAGUAGAGAUGCGGUUUCACUGUGUUAGCCAGGGUGGUCUCGAUCUUCUGACCUUGUGAUCUGCCCGCCUUGGCCUCCCAAAGUGCUGGGAUUAAAAUAAAUUGUUUUUAAUUAGCUGGGGGUGGUGUUGCACGCCUGUAGUCCCAGCUACUCAAGAGGCUGAGGUGGGAGGAUCACUUGAACCCAGGAGGUCAAGGCUAUAGUGAGCCAUGAUCAUACUAUUGCACUUCAGCAUGGGCGACAGUGUGAGACCCUGUCACGAAAAAAAAAAAA